rnacentral:rRNA from 1 species
UACGUAGGGUGCGAGCGUUGUCCGGAAUUACUGGGCGUAAAGAGCUCGUAGGUGGUUUGUCGCGUCGUCUGUGAAAUUCCGGGGCUUAACCUCGGGCGUGCAGGCGAUACGGGCAAUACUUGAGUGCUGUAGGGGAGACUGGAAUUCCUGGUGUAGCGGUGAAAUGCGCAGAUAUCAGGAGGAACACCGAUGGCGAAGGCAGGUCUCUGGGCAGUAACUGACGCUGGGGAGCGAAAGCAUGGGUAGCGAACAGGAUUAGAUA